CUGACGAGUGGCGGACGGGUGAGUAAUGCUUGGGAAUCUGGCUUAUGGAGGGGGAUAACGACGGGAAACUGUCGCUAAUACCGCGUAUUAUCGGAAGAUGAAAGUGCGGGACUGAGAGGCCGCAUGCCAUAGGAUGAGCCCAAGUGGGAUUAGGUAGUUGGUGGGGUAAAGGCCUACCAAGCCAGCGAUCUCUAGCUGGUCUGAGAGGAUGACCAGCCACACUGGAACUGAGACACGGUCCAGACUCCUACGGGAGGCAGCAGUGGGGAAUAUUGCGCAAUGGGGGGAACCCUGACGCAGCCAUGCCGCGUGAAUGAAGAAGGCCUUCGGGUUGUAAAGUUCUUUCGGUAUUGAGGAAGGUUGAUGUGUUAAUAGCACAUCAAAUUGACGUUAAAUACAGAAGAAGCACCGGCUAACUCCGUGCCAGCAGCCGCGGUAAUACGGAGGGUGCGAGCGUUAAUCGGAAUAACUGGGCGUAAAGGGCACGCAGGCGGUUAUUUAAGUGAGGUGUGAAAGCCCUGGGCUUAACCUAGGAAUUGCAUUUCAGACUGGGUAACUAGAGUACUUUAGGGAGGGGUAGAAUUCCACGUGUAGCGGU
rnacentral:rRNA from 1 species